CGGAGGGUGCAAGCGUUAUCCGGAUUCACUGGGUUUAAAGGGUGCGUAGGUGGGUAAGUAAGUCAGUGGUGAAAUCUCCGGGCUUAACCCGGAAACUGCCAUUGAUACUAUUUGUCUUGAAUACUGUGGAGGUCAGCGGAAUAUGUCACGUAGCGGUGAAAUGCUUAGAUAUGACAUAGAACACCAAUUGCGAAGGCAGCUGGCUACACAAAUAUUGACACUGAGGCACGAAAGCGUGGGGAUCAAACAGGAUUAGAUACCCUGGUAGUCCACGCCCUAAACUAUGGAUACUCGACAUUUGCGAUAAACUGCAAGUGUCUGAGCGAAAGCAUUAAGUAUCCCACCUGGGAAGUACGAUCGCAAGAUUG
rnacentral:rRNA from 1 species